UUUUCCUUCCCAUUUCAUAACCUUAUUUUGAAUGCAACCGUUUAACCUACAGUGACUACUUUCUUCCCCACAGUAACUGAGGUCAGUAACUUCAACCAAGAAAUAUUCAUGGAGGCAUUCCCGUUGUGGCACCGUGGUUUAAGAACCCAUGAAGAUGUGGGUUCCAUUUCUGGCCUCGCUCUGUGGGUUAAGGAUCUGGCAUUGGUACAAGCAGCAGCUGCAGCUCCAAUUUGACCACUAGCCUAGAAUUUCCACAUAGGCAUAUGUGGCCAUAAAAGGAGGGAGAGAGGGAGGGAGGGAGAGAGAGAGGGAGAAAGGAAGGAAGGAAGGGGAAUUCGUGGAGCAACUGCUAUAUAUAGGGCAAUGUGCAGUGACGACCCAAAUGUUGAAGUUUCAAGCGAGCGGACAAAUGUGCAUACUCUAAGAGAGACAUGUCAGAUGCGGUUUGAAUCAUGUCUUGUGGGUGCGCCUCAGAGGGGUGAUUAAUUCUGAGGUCACAAGGGCCCAGUAAUAUAUUCACCAGCAAUGUGACAUUUAAAUCAGCCUUGAAGGAUGUUUUCAUUUGCUAAGGCUGCUCUAAUAAAGUACAACAGAAUGGAUGACUUAACAGCUAUUUAUUUUUUUUAUUUUUGAAUAUUUUAUGGAAGUACAGUUGAUUUACCAUGUUGUAUUAAUUUCUGCUGUACAGGAAAUGACUCAUUUAUAUGUUUAUAUACAUAUAUGUAUAUAUGUAUUCUUUUUCAUUAUGAUUUAUCACAGGUUAUUGAAUAUAGGUCUCUAUGGUCUACAGUAAGACCUUGUUUGUCCAUCCUAUAGAUGACAGUUUGCCUCUGCUGAUCCCAAAUGCUUUUAAUGUUUUUUAAAUUUAAACGUAUUUUUAAAAUUUAUUUUUUAUUGAGGUCGCAUUGGUUUAUAACAGUGCAUCAUGUUCAUUUCUAUGUCUGAACACCCUACAGUGUGCUUAUUGCCGAAAAGUUAGUUCCCGUCUGUCACCAUGUAGUUUUUCCCCUUUAUCCAUGUCAGUUCCCCCCCACCCAGCUGUUCCUCUCUGGUAACUGCUACUCUGUUCUCUGAAUCUAAAAGUUAGUUUUUGUUUGGUUUGGACAGACAUUCAUUCUCAUAGCUUUGGAGACCAGAAGUCUGAAAACCAGAGUGUCAUCAGGACAGCAGUCCCUCUGAAGCCUCUGAGAGGGGAUCUUUCCAGCUCCUCCACCUCCUGGUAGCCUGAGGCCUUCUUGGCUUGUGGCAUCACAGCUCUGAUCUCUGCCUCCCUCUGCUCAUGGCCGUCUACUCCUCUGUGUCUGUCUUCACGUGGUGUUCUCCUUCCUCUGUGUUUUCUCUUAUAAGGACACCCAUCAUACACCUGUGGGUCUCACUUUAAUUAUGACCUCAUCCUAACUUGAGUACAUCUGCAAAGCCCCCAUUGCAUUUCCACCUUAGAUUAUAUUCACAGGUUCAGGGGGCUGGGACUGCCACACAUCUCAUCAAAGUACAUAAUUCAACCCAUAGCCAUAGCCAAGGAUGUUGCCCUUUAUUCACUGAUACAUUUCUUGUUGCCUUCCUCUAUUUUUUCUCUUUCUUUUUCUUUCUUUUUUUUUUUUUUUUUUUUUUUGUACCUAUUUCUCCACAGUUGGCACCAUUUGGUCUGUUUCUGUAGGUCCCUGAUUCAGGAAGGUCUUUGUCAGUGUAUCAGUUAAAAUCACCAGGACCAAUGACGUAAAUGUCACUGGCUCAGAAGUAAUUGGACAGUGAACUAUGAACAAUUACAUGCCAACAAAUUUGACAGCCUAGAAGAAAUGGACAACUUUCUAGAGACAUACAGCCUGCCAAAACUGAAUCAAGAAGAAAUCGAUUGAACAGACCAGUCGCUAGACAUGAAUAAGUAAUAUAAAUACUCCUGGAGUUUCCUUUGUGGCACAGCAGAAAUGAAUCUGACUAGUAUCCAGUUUGAUCUGUGGUUUUGCUCAGUGGGUUAAGCAUCUGGAGUUGCUGUGAGCUGUUUUGUAGGUCACAGAUGUAUCUCAUAUUCCAUGUUGCUGUGGCAGUGGCAUAGGCCAGCAGCUCUCCGAUUUGACCCCUAGCCUGGGAACCUCCAUAUGCCGAGGGAGCGGCCCAAGAAAUGGCAAAAAGACAAUAAAUAAAUAAAUAAAAAGCAAUUCAUUUGUAUUUAGCCUGGGUGAAUCUUUAUAUGCAAUGUUGAUAAAAUUUCAGUGCUCAGCAGCUGGUUGAACUAGAUAAUCUCUAAGGUCUUAUAAUUCUUCUCUUUCUUAUCCCUGUUCUUUGUUCCCUCUGGAAUUAAACAUAUAUUCAGAAUACUUUCAGGUGUAAGACAAGUUGCAAGGGUAACACAGGGAGUUCCUUUGUAUCCACACCCAGUUCUCCCUUGUGUUAAUAUCUUACAUUGCUACAGUAUUUGUCAAAAUUAAUGAACCACUAUGCCACUAACCUUUCAAACCAUUCUUUUAGAAAAAGUUGCAACUUUGUCUUUAGUUUAAUCAAAGUAAAGCAUUUCUUUUUUUGAAAAUAACCAUUAAAAUGUCAAUGCUGAUUAUUUCUGAGAGUUUUAACUAGGCAAAGAAAUUCUGAAGAAAAAAGACUGUGUAGAAUUUACUAAAUAUGAUAUAUAUCUGAGGAGAAAACAAAAACAACAAAAAGGCAGCUGCUUCUGAAACUGUUACCAGAAUGUAACUAGAAUGAUCUUAUGUUAAAGUAAAAUGUAGAGCUGCUCUCCUCCUUUUUAUUUAUUUAUUAUUGUUUCUUUGUUAAAAAACUUUACCUCACAAAGAGAACAACAGACUUGUGGUUGCCAAAAGGGUUGAGGGAGGAAGGGGAAUGGACCUGGAAUUGGGGGUUGGUAGAUGCAAAGUAUUCCAUUUAGAAUGGAAAAGCCGUGGUGUCCUACUGUACAGCACAGGGAAUUUUAUCCAGAUCUCUUGGGAUAGAACAUGAGAUGUCUAUAUCUAUCACUAUGCUGUACAGCAGAAAUUGGCACACCAUUGUAAAUCAAUUAUACUUUCAUAAUAAAAAAUAAUAAUUAAAGAAAAACCUUCAUGGGAAAGCCAGAUUUUUUGUCUUCUUUGCGCUUAGGAUAAGGGAUCUCUUCCUACACUUACUGAGGGAGCUGAAAUAUGGAAAUUCCUUCUGCCUGACUACAGAAGCUUCCAAGACAGACUUUUGAGUGCAGUUGUUUGACCUUGAGCUUGAUCACACACUACAGGUCCUGUGACGCAGUUUACUUCAGGGCCCUUCUCUGGGCACCACUUACCAGAGAUGCCAUGAACACAUGAGGUACUUGUUACAGAAGCACAAGAGUAACUAUCUAACUUUUCCUUUUAGUGCCAUUUAUGAAUUAAGAGUUUUAGGAAUAGAAAACUCUACAAUGUGGGAUAUAAGAAAGGAUAUCAAGAAAGAUUUCAGCCUGUAAUGCAUUUAUUUUCCUAAGAAGUUGAAUUAUCACUGGAAAAGUG
rnacentral:lncRNA from 1 species